rnacentral:rRNA from 1 species
GCUGAACGCUGGCGGCGUGCCUAAUACAUGCAAGUCGAGCGAACGGACGAGAAGCUUGCUUCUCUGAUGUUAGCGGCGGACGGGUGAGUAACACGUGGAUAACCUACCUAUAAGACUGGGAUAACUUCGGGAAACCGGAGCUAAUACCGGAUAAUAUUUUGAACCGCAUGGUUCAAAAGUGAAAGACGCUCUUGCUGUCACUUAUAGAUGGAUCCGCGCUGCAUUAGCUAGUUGGUAAGGUAACGGCUUACCAAGGCAACGAUGCAUAGCCGACCUGAGAGGGUGAUCGGCCACACUGGAACUGAGACACGGUCCAGACUCCGAGGGGAGGCAGCAGCAGGGAAUCUGACGCAAGGGGCGAAAGCCUGACGGAGCAACGCCGAGUGAGUGAUGAAGGGCUUCGGAUCGUAAAACCCUGUUAUUAGGGAAGAACAUAUGUGUAAGUAACUGUGCACAUCUUGACGGUACCUAAUAAGAAAGCCACGGCUAACUACGU